rnacentral:rRNA from 1 species
AUUGAACGCUGGCGGCGUGCUUAACACAUGCAAGUCGAACGCGAAAGGGACUUCGGUCCUGAGUAAAGUGGCGCACGGGUGAGUAACGCGUGGAUAAUCUGCCCUUAUGAUCGGGAUAACAGUUGGAAACGGCUGCUAAUACCGGAUACGCUCAAAAUGAACUUUUUGAGGAAAGAUGGCCUCUGCUUGCAUGCUAUCACGUAAGGAUGAGUCCGCGUCCCAUUAGCUUGUUGGCGGGGUAACGGCCCACCAAGGCAACGAUGGGUAGCCGAUUUGAGAGGAUGAUCGGCCACACUGGAACUGAAACACGGUCCAGACUCCUACGGGAGGCAGCAGUGGGGAAUAUUGCGCAAUGGGCGAAAGCCUGACGCAGCGACGCCGCGUGAGGGAUGAAGGUUUUCGGAUCGUAAACCUCUGUCAGAAGGGAAGAAACUACGUUGUGCUAAUCAGCAGCGUACUGACGGUACCUUCAAAGGAAGCACCGGCUAA